rnacentral:rRNA from 1 species
UACUUCUUGUUUCCUUGGUGGGUUCGCCCACCACUAGGACAAACAUAAACCUUUUGUAAUUGCAAUCAGCGUCAGUAACAAAUUAAUAAUUACAACUUUCAACAACGGAUCUCUUGGUUCUGGCAUCGAUGAAGAACGCAGCGAAAUGCGAUAAGUAGUGUGAAUUGCAGAAUUCAGUGAAUCAUCGAAUCUUUGAACGCACAUUGCGCCCUUUGGUAUUCCAAAGGGCAUGCCUGUUCGAGCGUCAUUUGUACCCUCAAGCUUUGCUUGGUGUUGGGCGUCUUGUCUCUAGCUUUGCUGGAGACUCGCCUUAAAGUAAUUGGCAGCCGGCCUACUGGUUUCGGAGCGCAGCACAAGUCGCACUCUCUAUCAGCAAAGGUCUAGCAUCCAUUAAGCCUUUUUUUCAACUUUUGACCUCGGAUCAGGUAGG